UUUGCCAGGGUUGGUGUCACAUGACCAAUGGAGCAAAACGUGAUUGGUUGAAUGUUGGAUGACUGAGACAGGGAUUGAUUGCUUUUGUUUGCCACAGUUAC